AGAGCGAACGCUGGCGGCAGGCCUAACACAUGCAAGUCGAGCGCCCGUAGCAAUACGGGAGCGGCAGACGGGAUAGUAACACGUGGGAACGCGCCCUUCGGUUCGGAAUAACUCAGGGAAACUUGAGCUAAUACCGGAUACGCCCUUACGGGGAAAGAUUUAUUGCCGAAGGAACGGCCCGCGUCCGAUUAGCUAGUUGGUGAGGUAAUGGCUCACCAAGGCGACGAUCGGUAGCUGGUCUGAGAGGAUGACCAGCAUCACUGGGACUGAGACACGGCCCAGACUCCUACGGGAGGCAGCAGUGGGAAUAUGGACAAUGGGCGCAAGCCUGAUCCAGCCAUGCCGCGUGGAUGAUGAAGGCCUUAGGGUUGUAAAGUCCUUUUAACGGGAGAUAAUGACGGUACCGUAGAAUAAGCCCGGCUAACUUCGUGCCAGCAGCCGC
rnacentral:rRNA from 1 species